CCCUGGCUACAAACUGGGUCCCUUGACUCCUUCAAAGCGAGGCCUGGCUGCCACUCUGACUCGUGCCAAGCCCUCAUACCUGCCUAGAGACAUCUCUACACUAAGACUGGAAAUCAUUGAGGAGACCACAGGCUGCUUGCACCUCAUUCACCUGCAAUCUACUUUGACUUCAUGUGACAAAACUGAACUGAUACAUUCACCCUCAAGCUAAAGGACCCGUCCUCUCAGCGAUAUGAGGUCAAGCUCCCAGCUGAUGAUCCCAAGAGCAGAGCAGAUAACUCCGAUGUCCUUUACACCACCGAGUACCAGUCUGACCCAUUUGGUUUCAUAGUGCGACGUAAAUCCAAUGGACGCACGAUUAUAAACACCACUGUGGGACCUCUGCUUUUUGCUGACCAGUACUUGCAGUUGUCCACCACACUAGCCUCUUCCCUUGUGUCUGGCCUUGGGGAACAUUACACCUGCCUCCUCCUAGACCUUAACUGGACUUCUCUUACUCUCUGGAACAGAGACAUGGCACCUCAUGCUCAUGCUAACCUAUAUGGCUCCCACCCAUUCUACAUUGUACAGGAGGCUGAUGGAUUAGCACAUGGAGUUUUCCUUCUCAACA